rnacentral:tRNA from 1 species
AGGGGUGUGGCUCAAUGGUAGAGAACUUGCCUAGCAUGCCAGAGGUCCUGGGUUUGAUCCCCAGCACUGUGG